AGGGCACCCAACGGGACCCAAUGGGGGGUAAUGGCACCCAACGGGGACGCAAUGGGGGAUAUGGGCACCCAACAGGGACCCAGUGGGGGAUAAGGGCACCCAGUGGGGACACAGUGGGGUGUCAGUGUCACCCAACGGGGACCCAGUGGGGGAUAAGGGCACCCAACGGGACCCAAUGGGGGUAAUGGCACCCAACGGGGACACAGUGGGGGAUAAGGGCACCCAACGGGGACCCAGUGGGGGAUAACGGCACCCAACGGGGACCCAAUGGGAGGUAACAGCACCCAACAGGGACCUAGUGUGGGAUAAGGGCACCCAACUGGGGUCAAUGUCACCCAGUGGGACCCAAUGGGUGAUAAGGGCACCCAACGGGGACCCAGUGGGGUGUCAGUGUCACCCAACGGGGACCCAAUGGGGGAUAAGGGCACCCAACGGGGAUCAAUGUCACCCAGUGGGACCCAAUUGGGGAUAAGGGCACCCAACGGGGACAGAAUGGGGUGUCAGUGUCACCCAACAGGGACCAAAUGGGGGAUAAGGGCACCCAACGGGACCCAAUGGGGGGUAAUGGCACCCAACAGGGGCCUACUGUGGGAUAAGGGCACCCAACUGGAGUCAAUGUCACCCAGUGGGACCCAAUGGGUGAUAAGGGCACCCAAUGGGGCCCCAGUGGGGUGUCAGUGUCACCCAACAGGGACCCAAUGGGGGAUAAGGGCACCCAACGGGGACCCAGUGGGGUGUCAGUGUCACCCAACGGGGACCCAAUGGGGGAUAAGGGCUCCCAACGGGGGUCAGUGUCACCCAAUGGGAGCCCAACGGGGGUCGAUGUCACCCAGUGGGACACAACAGGGGUCAGUGUCACCUAACAGGGGUCAAUGUCACCCAUUCUGGACCCAACAGAGGUUGAUGUCACCCAAUGGGGACCCAAUGCCACCCAACAGCAUUCAGUAGGACCCAAAGGACCCCAACGUCACCCAAUGGGCACCCAACAAAUACCCCCACCCCUGGGUGCCACUGGGACCCCCCAGCCCCCUUUACACCCCCCAGGCCUACGAGCGCUCGGAAUCAGAGGAGGUGGCCUUCAUCACGCAGCUGGUGAAGAAGCUCCUCAUCAUCAUCUCCCGCCCCGCGCGGCUGCUGGAGUGCCUGGAGUUCGACCCGGCUGAGUUCUACCAGCUGCUGACGGCGGCGGAGGGGCAGGGGCUGCUGAAGGCCGACAUCCCGCGUUACAUCAUCGGGCAGCUGGGGCUGGCAAGGGACCCCUUCCCUGAUGUGGUGCACCUGGAGGAGCCCGACAGCGGCGGCUGCAACACCCCGGAGCCUGAGGAGGGGGCUGAGGUGGGCACCGGGUUGGUCUCUGUGUCCCCACAUCACCCCACGUGUCACCAAUUCAUGCCGUGCCCCCACACAUCACCCCAUGC